UUAACUAAUCCUGUCACUGUAAAAUCCUACAGUCAUUCUUCCACACAUAAAGGGAAAACGGACUCACUAGGAGGACCUAGACUGUUUCAGCUUGAACUGUUAACCAAUGGUGGAAAUGCAAGAAUGCUGAAGUUGUGCCUUCAGAGCCAAUAGAGUGGAUUUGUGUGUCCCACAUGACUGUGUUUCCUCUGUCUUUCACAUGGGCAGUAUUUAGUUCAAUUCAGAACUGCAGAUAGUAUAGCGUGCAGAGCAGCAAUGGGAUGUCUGAGCACAAGUGGCUGACUUCCAGGCGACUUCAGGAAGCAGAUUUGUACAUUUCUCCUGAAUUUAACUGGGAUUCUGCACCCUUGACACCCUCCGACCCUCCUUGUCUCUGCAGAAGGAGACAGCGACCUGCACAGCACAACAAAACUACAAAUCACCACAGAGCUGCAGACCAGCAAUGAAGGGAACUGGGCAAUUUGGCCAACAUCAUCUGUGUCGGUUCUCCAGAAGUCGAUGAAACAUGUUAUCGGGUCUCCAAGUUUGCAUUUUACAGCCCACAAGCCUCAGAAGAUUACUGUGUGGAAGAAACACACUGGGCCAACCCAUCCUGUCCAUCUGACACAAAGCACAGCCCAUUUUGGUAUUCUUUCCCUUCUGAAGGAGUCUCAUAUCAGCACAACACCCAUAUCUUCAAUUUAGGUCAGGCCAUGAAGAGGAGGAAGAGGACUGAAGACUGAAGAUGAGAUGCUCUACUUCACACAGUUGCCCUCUGGAAGGACUUGCAAAGGCAGUCACUUAAAUUAAGUACAGCACAGCAAGAGCAGACCUAGCAAAAAAGAAUUCUGACCAGCUGAGCAUCAAGAACACCUUCUGCAGAAGAACUCUGCUCCCAAAUGCAAAUAAGAAAGAAGUUUGGGAAACUGCCAGCUCCUUGCACAAAGACUGAAAUAUGAUGAGCAGAGAAGGGUGUUGACCUUUGAGGCUGCGGUCAAGUCAAUGGAGUUCUGUUGUAGUGGUUGCUUCAGUGAACAUUCAACGCUGUCGGCCUUAACACCGAAGAUAGCAACCUAACCAUCAUAUGAUGUUUCUCCCCCACCCUGCCAAGCUUUACAAAAAAAAAAAAAGGUCACAAUCAACAUUCAUUGCUGUCGGUGGGUUUAACUUUGUGGACAAGCUCACUGAACAAUGAAUGCAACUGUGGCCCCACAUUUUACAGUUGCCGUUGAGAGGAACAGCAGCUCUGAAAGCAGUAGUGAGAGACAAACUUCUUAUAAGCUACAUUUUACUGGUCAGAAAAAUAGUUGGGAGUAUUCACUUUUUGCUUGCUUGUUUUUAAGUGUGUUUGACUUAGCUGACU